rnacentral:rRNA from 1 species
AUGCCGCCGCCGCCGCAAACAGAAACAGCAGCGGCAGGAGGAGGUCGGAGCCGCGCCCGUCGCAUAGCGCACCGCACCAGGGACAGCUGCGUGGCCGUCUUCUGCAGCACGCUCUGCUCCGUCCUCCUCGCCGUCAUCCUCGUGGCCGGCGUCGCCCUCUUCGUCGCCUGGCUCGGCCUCCGCCCGCACCGCCCGCGCUUCACCCUCUCCUCCUUCUCCCUCUCCGGCCCGGGGGGACAGGGACAGGGCCAGGCCGCCUUCAACGUGUCGGACCGCAACCCCAACCGCCACAUCGGCAUCUACUACGACGGCGCCACGCGCGCCUCCCUCCGCUUCUACGACGCGCUGGUGGCCUCCGGCCCGGCCUUCCCCGCCGGCUGGUACCAGCCCAACAUGACCACCAUCUCCAUCGCCGGCGUGCUCGACGUCGUCGGCCCAACGCCCGCCGACCCCGCCGCGUGGCACUCCUUCUCCGCCGCGCUCCACGCCGGGCGCCUCCCGCUGCGCCUGGAGCUCGUCUUCUCAGGCGUCCGGUUCAGAGUCGCCAGUGUGUUCCACUCGGGUCGGCAGAGGAUGCAUGUCAAGUGCGACCUGCUCGUCGGCGCCGACGGCAACCUGCUCCGCGAAUCCGUGGGGACAUCCUGCGACAGAUACUUGUGA